UGGUGAGCUGCGACAACUGGAUGAAC
rnacentral:piRNA from 2 species